rnacentral:lncRNA from 1 species
AAUAAUUUUUAUUUUUUUAUUUUUUAUUUUAUCUUUUAUUUUUUUUUUAAAUAAGAAAAGAAAAGAAAAGGUUCCUUCCAUUUUAUUGAAAUAUACCAGAUAAAGCCAGGACUUGUGCCUCAGUGCCCCUAAAAUGUUAGGCUUCAAUAAUCAAGUUCUUUUUUCUUACAUUCCACAUGAUCUGAUAGAAGUGAUACUCAUUUAGCGUAAGGUCCUCUGAGGUCUGAGUACUUAACGCAGUAAAGGACAGGUAGAGAGAGAGAGAAAGUAAACUGGAUUAUUAAAUAAGCAGCAGGCAUCUGAUAUAAACAUCAUUUAGAUAGAAAAAAAGCCGAUAGCUUUUAAUUAAUUAGUGAUCAGCACUGGGGGGGUGUGUAUCAGUAUAACCCCCCAAACGUCCACAUGCCCACUCAAGAAAGCUCAAGAUGCAAAUCUUAACUAAUUUAAUGUAUAAAGGGGUCUCAUUUGAGCCACCCGCAAUUUAUACUGUUCUAUUAUUCGACAUGAAGACAAUUUAAAAUUGCAAGGCGAAGAAGCCACUGUAUUUCUGGAGAGCCCCUACAGAGUUUACUGCCGAAAUAGUCACUUGGUCUAUUAAUAACCGGACCUAUCUGGUGUAGUCACUCUCUGAUACCGGAGGCAGACCAUGACAAUGACACGGUUAAACUGUAGACAAAGUCGAUGGCCCAAGAUAUUCCCCAACUUGACAGCGUGAAAUCAAAACCAGGCAGCAUGCCACCUGUGGGGGAAGACGUGCGCAAACACACACGGCCCCUGCCCUCGUGGAGCUUCCAGAACAAGGACAGCAGUGAAGUCACUGACCUCACGAAUGCGCCGCUAACUGCGGGGAAGGACCUGCGGUGCUACAGGAGCCUGCAAAAGGCAGAUGGGAUUACUCAGAGGUCAGCAAUUGGAGUUCCACAGGGUGAACAGGAGAGGAGGAUCCGUGGCUGCUUCAAGAUGGUGGCGACCAGAGGAGGAGGAGGUUAUGGAAGAAGGACAAAAAGAGAAUGGAAGGAGUCUUUUUAAAGGGACAAAUUCAAGUUUACCAGGAAGGAAUUAAACAUUCUAUUCCAGCAUGAACUGUUAAGACCUGACGUAGUAAAAACCAAGAGAAGAACGGUCCCCAAUCUCAAGCUUCUGUCGAUUACACCUUAAAACUACUUUCACUAGUGGAUUCGAAAUACUGGGUAUGUGGCCCCUUGGGCAGUAGUUGGCAUCAGAAGGUGAUGUGCAGUUCAGUAUUAAAGUGUCACUUAGACCUCAGUAACUGACUGCACCUGACUUAUGCCCAAAGCUUAGCCCCCGUCUUAGAAAAUUAGCUUUCUAGCAGUCUGUACUCAGUAGCAUCUACAACUCUAGGGACCAUGGGUUUUACAAGCAGUUAUUAGUUAAAGACUAGAAGGAAUCUAAUUAAAAGCAGUCUCUCAGCCCAAACUAGACUAGGGCAGCUAAAGAGGUCACGGCAAUGAGGUCACAGUUCUGUGAAAUUUACCCAGAUUCUGGUGGGGGAGGGGAUGUUUUUCACACCGUAAACAUCUGAAGUUCCUCACAUUCUUUAUCCUCAGAUAAAACACAGGUUGUAAACCCACAUAAAACACGGGGCUUUAAAAAAUAUGGAUUAAGUUACCCACCACCUUCCCAACCCAAGUAAAACACGGGGUUUUUGGAAAAAAAAUAUUAAGUAUGAUAAGUUAUCCUCCAUCUGCCUACAAGGAUAGGGCAAAACAGAUUAGGUGACGCCUUGCUAAUGAAAACACGUGCUGGAAAAAUAGGUCUAGAAUGCAACGAUCCAACCAAGUCCCCGUCUUGGCGGCUGUUAAGUGGCCAAGAGUAAAUAUUUCAGCCUUGAAAUACUCAAGACUAUAAAAUACAAAAUUUCUAGGAGGCUCAGCACUUGUCUCCAUAGACACAGGAACGCAAGCAAUCCUCGCUGAAGCCUCUGACCGCAUCCUUGGAGAACUUCUAACUAUGCCCCCGGUAGGUAGUUUACCCCUUGAGUCCACAGGCACUGCACGGAGCGAAAAGG